CCUACGGGGGGCUGCAGUGGGGAAUAUUGCACAAUGGAGGGAACUCUGAUGCAGCGACGCCGCGUGAGUGAAGAAGUAAUUCGUUAUGUAAAGCUCUAUCAGCAGGGAAGAAAGUGACGGUACCUGAAAAAGAAGCUCCGGCUAAAUACGUGCCAGCAGCCGCGGUAAAACGUAGGGGGCAAGCGUUAUCCGGAUUCACUGGGUGUAAAGGGAGCGUAGACGGCGAGACAAGUCUGGAGUGAAAGGCCGGGGCCCAACCCCGGGACUGCUCUGGAAACUGCCUGGCUGGAGUACAGGAGAGGUAAGUGGAAUUCCUGGUGUAGCGGUGAAAUGCGUAGAUAUUAGGAGGAACACCAGUGGCGAAGGCGGCUUACUGGACUGUAACUGACGUUGAGGCUCGAAAGCGUGGGGAGCAAACAGGAUUAGAUACCCGGGUAGUC
rnacentral:rRNA from 1 species